AAUGAACGUUGGCGGCGUGGAUUAGGCAUGCAAGUCGAACGGGCCUGGUUUUCGGAUCAGGUCAGUGGCGCAAGGGUGAGUAAGGCGACGGCAACCAACCCCAUGGUUGGGCAUAGCCGCGGGAAACUGCGGGUAAUUCCCAGCGAUUUUCGUGUCGGGCAUCCGACGUGAACCAAAGUUCUGGCGCCGUGGGACGGGCCGUCGUGGUAUUAGGUAGUUGGCGGGGUAAUGGCCCACCAAGCCUAUGAUGCCUACCGGGCGUGCGAGCGUGGCCCGGCACACUGGGACUGAGACACUGCCCAGACUCCUACGGGAGGCUGCAGUCGAGAAUCUUCGGCAAUGGGCGCAAGCCUGACCGAGCGACGCCGCGUGGAGGAUGAAGGCCUUCGGGUUGUAAACUCCUGUCGAGGGGGAGGAAGGGGUAACCUUGACCGAUCCCUGGAGGAAGCACGGGCUAAGUUCGUGCCAGCAGCCGCGGUAAGACGAACCGUGCUAACGUUAUUCGGAAUCACUGGGCUUAAAGCGCGUGUAGGCGGAUGGGGACGUCGGUUGUUGAAAGCCCCCGGCUUAACCGGGGAACUGGCACCGAAACGCCCCGUCUAGAGGGACGUAGGGGGACCUGGAACUUCCGGUGGAGCGGUGAAAUGCGUUGAGAU
rnacentral:rRNA from 1 species